rnacentral:lncRNA from 1 species
GUUUGCGUCAACAUGCAAAGGACAUGGCUUGAACAUCCUGCUUUAUUGUUCGAAUGAUUUUAACAGUAGGUCCCGGACAGACAUACCUGCAGUGCCGCCCCCAAGGACAUUGAAAUAACCCAGACAGCCGAGUUGGGACAGCUCAUUGGCGUUAUCGCAAAGCUGACACGACUGAGUUCUUCGGAGGGCACAAUCCGCUGCGGGGAAGCACACAACCAUAUGAUCGAUCAUCCAUGAUCGCCUGCACGUACUGUUUUUUUUUUGCCUACACAUCUAGGAGAUGCCUUACAUUUCUGGAAGUGGUGUAUACAGCGUGAGAGGAUUUAAUCGAUGGGGCUUGCCUGGCGAUCUUCACUUCUU